GCCGAUGUGGUGGAACUGGUAGACACGCAGGACUUAGGUUCCUGUGCCUUCGGGCGUGCGGGUUCGAGUCCCGCCGUCGGCA
rnacentral:tRNA from 1 species